CUUUGGUGAACCUGCUCCAGAGAGCUCAGGACAACGACCCUAAGCACACAGCCACAGCCAAGACAAUGCAGGAGUGGCUUCCGGACAAGUCUCUGAAUGUCCUGGAGUGGCUCAGUCGGAGCCCAGACUUGAACCCGAUCUAACAUCUCUGGAGAGACCUGAAAAUAGUUGUCAGCGACGCUCCCCAUUCAACCUGACAGUGCUUGAGAGGAUCUGCAGAGAAGAAUAGGAAAAACUCCACAAAUGCAGAAAGAAACAUUUAAUCGCCAAAUCCUACAGUUCCAGCAGGUGAGCUGGUUCUACUGUUUGUGGUGUUUUGUGGUGGAAAACUGAGCGGGAGGAGCAUAACACGUCAAUCCUGUUACCCAAAGAUGGACAGGCUAGACAUGUUUUAACAAUUUCAUUUUUUGUGUGACGCUUUUAUUCAAUUUCCACUCCGUUGCUCACAACAAGCUUCCAUUUCCUGUCACAAAGGGAUUUAUGGCUGAUUUUAAGAAGAAAUAGACAAACCCUGGUACUUUUAUUUGGUACUUAAUAGGCACUUACCCUGGACUUUUUUUAUUUAACCUUUUGGGAAAACAUGUUUUUCUUUUCAAAAAAUGUAUGAAGAUGAUCAUGUGCUCUUUAUAACAAUGUUAAACAACAACAACAAAAUCUGAUGUUAUUUUUGACCAAGUUACACUUCUCCAAAGGCACUGAAUUUGGUGGAAUGACCCAGUAACACUAAGGGAGAUAGGAGAACAUUCAUAUAGAGCUUGUCCUCCAAAGUAAUGUUGUGAAUGGGUACUACUGCCCCAAAUCAAAUUCUGGUUUCACUUCAUAUUAGGAGUAAAAUGGAGAACAUGAGUGUAUUAGCAGGUUUGCUAUUAAGGAAAUGACUUAUGUUUAAAAUAUUUUUACGUUCUAAAGCGAGUAGAUGGAAGUUGCUUAACAACAAAUGGUUUGGGUCAAAAGGAAAACGGAUGUUGAUUUUAAUAUGGAUAGUGUUCAUUUAAAAAACAAGUUAUUUCUCUUUAACACAUGAGCCUAUAGUCUACACUUCCUUGGUUAUACUGUAUUCAGCUGAAUACUGUUGAUUUUCACUUUUUAUCUCCUACUUCUAUCUCAGAAUCGUUUCACACACUACCUUGGAUCUAUUGGUACUGCUAGCAGUAGAGCUACCUAAUAGUAGUUCAUUUUGUGCAAUAUUUUACUAUUCUACCCUAUUGUCAAUGUUGAGCAGAAUCGGUUGUAUCUGCUUGUCUGUUACUCAUAUCAUGUAAGCUGUUAAUUUGACUCCUUGAGGUGUCUUAUAAGCACCCAUUUUGUGCUUGUUUUUAAGGGAAUGUAAUUGUAGUUCGGGAAUGAACAAGAUAGUGAAUUUAAUUGUUCACAAGAAUAAUGGUGGUAUUUUUGUUACAUUGUACAGAUGUGUGCUAUCCAGUGUACCUAUGUGAGGUGUUGUAUUAAGAUGUAUAGAUUAUUAUGACCACUAAUAACACAUAUUUGUUUAGGCUCUCACCAUAGAAGUAGAAUGAAUAGCACAGGCGCCUAACCCUGGCAAAUUGACUGGUAAACUCAUGGUACACUCGCAAUGACUGCCCGGUAUUGUGAUGCAAUCAUUUCCAUGGUAUUUUGGAAUGUUCUAUUACUGAUGCUGGAUUGCCAUGCUAAUCUAGAAUGUUCUAUUACUGAUGCUGGAUUGCCAUGGUAAUGUAGAAUGUUCAUUCAGAUGAUAUGGUAAAGAGGUCAGUGGAACUCAACCAAAACAAUGGAAAUGCUUUGCAAACGCAUGAGGGAAAGACCCCAAAACACCUCAUGGCCUCCCCAGCAAAAUGAGCCUACAUUUAGGCUUUUGUUUAUAUGUGUAUUUCACACUAUGUUGAGGAAUAAAAUCUGAGUAUAAGGCUUGUAUGGAUGUCAACCUCAAUACAUGUUCAUGUUAUCGUCUCCAACUGCAUUACAGUUAAACGACUGACUAGCAGCACCAAUUUCUCUAUGCUAGCUAUGCUACCAGUUUAUACAAACAGGAGUUAUCAUUCAGCUGUCACAAUUUCAUUUGAACAAGUAUUGGUCACAAAAAAAAUUGAUUUGAAGAAGUGAACCUGAAAAUGGACUUUCUUCUAAAAUAGCCAAAUGUAUCCAAAUCGGACUUUAUUAACCACAUUGUGGGCAUGUUACAAUACAUCAAUCAUUGUUAUAUCAGUUUUGUUGAAUGUGCGCUAAUCUGCCGUACUUCGAUCUCCCAAGGUCUGUGUUCCAUUGACCUCUUUACCACAUGUGGUUCAUGCAAUGGAAUGUAUUAUUAUUUUUUGUAAUGUCAGUUGACUCAACAAGUAACAGUGCAGAUUGACAGGUACACUUCCUACUGUUACUUCCUGGCAUGAGUUCACUCAAAAUGGCUGCCAGUCCACCUAUUAUGCCAUCAUUGACUUGAAUGGAGAUGCCCUUUCUGUUCUCUCACCUUUUCAGUGAUCAUUGGUUAUGGACAGGUACCAUUGUGAAAUGUGACUACCCAAACAUGUAUUGCCAUUUAUAUUUUGUAAAAAUACUGAUGGUGAAAUCAUAUUUUCAAGAUGAGUUCACUUUGAGAAGUGUGACUAUUUCUACUUUAGAUGAAUGGAGAAACAGCGAAGGAUCAGUCCUUUAAACCUUAGUGUGAAUUGCUAACAUUACUGGUUCCUGUAAUGUAGUGGUGUCUGCAUGGCUUACCAUGACUCAGGACAGACAAUGGAGCUGCCUUCUGGAUGAAAGCAAUAUCUGGCAUAAUACAUUUGAAUGCUGAGAGAUUUAAUAUGAAGCCACUACCAAAAUCACAUAGCCUUUGAACUCUGCAUCCACUUAUCAAGGAUUGUAUGUGAUUUGUUAGUAGUUCUUGCUACAAUGUAAUUUGUUCUUUCUAGGUCUGCACUCUUAACUUUACAUCAUCUGGGGUAGGGCCUAUAUUAAAUCACAAAUAAAAAGUGUUUGUUUA